rfam:Nitrococcus mobilis Nb-231 scf_1099646003885 genomic scaffold, whole genome shotgun sequence.
GGACCCCCACCUGGGUAACCGUUAGCCACGGGCCCGGUAUUGAGCCUUGCUGCGCGCCUGGUAACAGGCGUGUAGAUGCGUAGGUACAAGAGCAGGCGAGGUGCAAGGGUAACGGGUGAAGCCGACCUUGAAGGUGUAGAGCCCCGAAAAAUUCAGUUGGAGAGUGCCGACGGGUUUGUCCCUCCGGCAGGCAACAACCCAUGCCGCGUCAAGAUUGUAAUAGGGGACAGACCACUGUUUUAUCCUC